AGAAAGAAGAGAAAGUCAAGUAUUUGACCACCGCAAGAGGGUCUGCAAGAAAAGGCACACACACUUUGGUAAAAGUUGCAGGCCAGCGAGGAGAAAGUUAAUAGCCAGGGCUUAGAAGUCAGCCCGCUCAAGUCCAAAUUACAGGAAAAGACAGAACAAUCUCAACAGCUGCAAGAUCAAAUUCUCAAGCAGCAGGAGGCUCUAAGUAGGGCAAGCCAAACUCUCAAAGACACCAGGAAAGCAGCUGGCAAUAAGAUUUCGUCAGUAAUUUAAGUGGACGAAAUUGUCCCUGGCCGUCAGAAUGACUUUGCAGUUCUCCUCAAACGUCAGACCCAACUCUCCUCUCAUAGAAGAACUCUUGUCAACUCUUUCAGUUCGCAAAGUCUUAAUAA